UACGUAGGUGGCAAGCGUUGUCCGGAAUCAUUGGGCGUAAAGCGCGCGCAGGCGGCCCUUUAAGUCUGAUGUGAAAGCCCACGGCUCAACCGUGGAGGGUCAUUGGAAACUGGGGGGCUUGAGUGCAGAAGAGGAAAGCGGAAUUCCACGUGUAGCGGUGAAAUGCGUAGAGAUGUGGAGGAACACCAGUGGCGAAGGCGGCUUUCUGGUCUGUAACUGACGCUGAGGCGCGAAAGCGUGGGGAGCAAACAGG
rnacentral:rRNA from 1 species